rnacentral:rRNA from 1 species
UAGGGAAUAUUGGACAAUGGGGGCAACCCUGGUCCAGCCAUGCCGCGUGAGUGAAGAAGGCCCUCGGGUUGUAAAGCUCUUUUGUCCGGAAAGAAAAGCAUUCGGUGAAUACCCGGAUGUUCUGACGGUACCGGAAGAAUAAGCACCGGCUAACUUCGUGCCAGCAGUCGCGGUAAUACGAAGGGUGCAAGCGUUACUCGGAAUUACUGGGCGUAAAGGAUGCGUAGGCGGAUACUUAAGUCAGUGGUGAAAGCCUGUCGCUUAACGAUAGAACUGCCAUUGAUACUGUAAGUCUUGAGUAUAUUUGAGGUAGCUGGAAUAAGUAGUGUAGCGGUGAAAUGCAUAGAUAUUACUUAGAACACCAAUUGCGAAGGCAGGUUACCAGGAUAUAACUGACGCUGAGGGACGAAAGCGUGGGGAGCGAACA